GCGAUAUAUAGCACUAGGGAGACUGUUUUCACUCAUCACAUGUGUGUCUGCUGUCUGUCCAGGUGUGACUGCCUCUACUGUCUCUACAGGUGUGUCUCUGCAAGGCUAUCCAGGCGACUCAAGAACCCCGGCCACCACGACCUCCAGCAGCACCACGACCUCCAGGACCAUGAAGACCCGCGGCGUGGUGCUCCUGCUGUGUCUGGUGGGCACGGUGACCGCCGUGCCGGUCCUCCGAGGGCACGCCCCACACGGCGCUCGCUCCAUCUACGGCGUCUUCGUCCCUAUCUUCAUCAACAGGGAUGCCCCUGCCGGGUCGCCACCCACGGCGGCCUUCAAUAUCUGUUUCCCAUUGCCUAGAUGUCCCCUUUCUACUACCACAACCACCACAACUACUACUGCAAGACCUACAACUACUACUACUACUACCACUACUGCAAAACCUACAUCUACUACAGUCGCGGGUUAAUAAACUCACUCGCUGCUCAGUCAAUGAGCAGCGAGUAUAUUUAAGUAUACUGUAUGUUAUAUCGAGGAUGCUUCACAGUUGCCUGAAUUUACCUGAGGACCAGCAUCUCUAGUGACCUCCACGGGGACAGGAAGCUGACAGAUUGUCAAAAGUCGCACCUGUGUUCCCGCUAGACUCACUGUUGCCAGGGCCACCAGGAUUACUCUACACAGUUACCAGAAUAUAUAUCUUUCCUCCCU